GGCUCGGUAGUUUAGUUGGAAAAGCACUUAUCUAGCGAUUAAGGGUCGUGAGUUCAAAUCUCACCUGAGCUG
rfam:Aedes albopictus isolate Foshan contig94642, whole genome shotgun sequence.